rnacentral:rRNA from 1 species
UGAAUACGAGAUGCUAAGGCGUCGAAGUAGUGUAUGUCAUACUUCCAAGAAAAGCUUGCACUGUCAUAAAUAAAUAAUGCCUGUACCAUAACCGACACAGGUGGGUAAGUAGAGUAUACUAAGGGGCGCGAGAUAACUCUCUCUAAGGAACUCGGCAAAAUAACUCCGUAACUUCGGGAGAAGGAGUGCCUUAUUCUUAAGGUAGCAAUAACAAGAUCCAAGCAACUGUUUAUCAAAAACACAGGUCUCCGCUAAGUCGUAAGACGAUGUAUGGGGGCUGACGCCUGCCCAGUGCCAGAAGGUUAAAGAAGUUGGUUAGCAAUUGCGAAGCUGGUAACUGAAGCCCUGGUGAACGGCGGCCGUAACAAUAACGGUCCUAAGGUAGCGAAAUUCCUUGUCGGGUAAGUUCCGACCCGCACGAAAGGCGUAAUGAUUUGGAUGCUGUCUCGGAGAGGGGCUCGGUGAAAUAGACUUGUCUGUGAAGAUGCGGACUACCUGCACCAGGACAGAAAGACCCUAUGAAGCUUUACUGUAACUUGAAAUUGAAAUUGGACUUUAUUUGCGCAGUAUAGGUGGGAGGCGUUGAUUAUAAUCUUGCGGGAUUAUUGGAGCCAUCAGUGAGAUACCACUCUUGUAAUGUUAGAUUUCUAACUUUGAAUCAUUAUCUGGUCAAAGGACAAUUUCAGGCGGGCAGUUUGACUGGGGCGGUCGCCUCCUAAAUGGUAACGGAGGCGUACAAAGGUUUCCUCUGAACGGUUAGAAAUCGUAUCUAGAGUGUAAAGGCAUAAGGAAGCUUGACUGUGAGACCUACAAGUCGAGCAGGGACGAAAGUCGGUCUUAGUGAUCUGACGGUACUGAGUGGAAAGGCCGUCACUCAACGGAUAAAAGUUACUCUAGGAUAACAGGCUGAUCUCCCCCAAGAGUUCACAUCGACGGGGAGGUUUGGCACCUCGAUGUCGGCUCAUCGCAUCCUGGGGCGGUAGUACGUCCCAAGGGUUGGGCUGUUCGCCCAUGAAAGCGGUACGCGAGCUGGGUUCAGAACGUCGUGAGACAGUUCGGUCCAUAUCCGGUGUAGGCGUUAGAAUAUUGAGAGGAGCCUUCUUUAGUACGAGAGGACCGAGAAGGACAUACCUCUGGUGUACCAGUUAUCGUGCCAACGGUAAACGCUGGGUAGCUAUGUAUGGAGUGGAUAACCGCUGAAAGCAUCUAAGUGGGAAGCCCACCUCAAGAUAAGUA